rnacentral:rRNA from 1 species
GAUGAACGCUGGCGGCGUGCUUAACACAUGCAAGUCGAACGAAGCGCUUAAACGGAUUUCUUCGGAAUGAAGUUUUUGCGACUGAGUGGCGGACGGGUGAGUAACGCGUGGGUAACCUGCCUCAUACAGGGGGAUAACAGUUAGAAAUGACUGCUAAUACCGCAUAAGCGCACGUCAUCGCAUGAUGGUGUGUGAAAACUCCGGUGGUAUGAGAUGGACCCGCGUCUGAUUAGGUAGUUGGUGGGGUAACGGCCCACCAAGCCGACGAUCAGUAGCCGACCUGAGAGGGUGACCGGCCACAUUGGGACUGAGACACGGCCCAA